GAUGAACGUUGGCGGCGUGCCUAACACAUGCAAGUCGAACGGAGAUUACGGACGGAAGUUUUCGGAUGGAAGACUGUAAUUCUUAGUGGCGGACGGGUGAGUAACGCGUGGGCAACCUGCCCUAUACAGGGGGAUAGCAGCUGGAAACGGCUGGUAAGACCGCAUAAGUCGGCGAGACCGCAUGGUUUUGCCGGGAAAUGAGCAAUCAGGUAUAGGAUGGGCCCGCGUCCGAUUAGCCAGUUGGCAGGGUAAAAGCCUACCAAAGCAACGAUCGGUAGCCGGACUGAGAGGUCGGACGGCCACAUUGGGACUGAGACACGGCCCAAACUCCUACGGGAGGCAGCAGUGGGGGAUAUUGCACAAUGGAGGAAACUCUGAUGCAGCGACGCCGCGUGAGUGAAGAAGUAUUUCGGUAUGUAAAGCUCUAUCAGCAGGGAAGAUGAUGACGGUACCUGACUAAGAAGCCCCGGCUAACUACGUG
rnacentral:rRNA from 1 species